AUAAAAACCACUCCAAUCCCCCAUUUUCAAACACCCAACAUUCCCAUUUCUCCAAUUGAUCAGCUCUAAACCUCUACUCUUUAAUGGGUUCAACACCACACUGAUCGGCUCUUGUUUCACUUCGCCCCAUUCCCGACGAUGAGCCUCAGCCGUCCGUCGGUCCACCCGGUGGAGGCUCCACCUCUGACUGACGUGGCCGCCCUCAGAGUCCGGAUGAAGGACGUUCAGGGCAUGCCUGGAACUGCCGGCAGCCUCGCUCUCCGUCUUUCCCAGCUCGUCUUCGCCGGAAUCUCGCUUGCUGUCAUGGCCUCCACCAAUGAUUUCCCGUCUGUUACUGCGUUUUGCUACCUUGUUGCUGCUGUGAGCUUGCAAUGUGUGUGGAGCUUAUCACUGGCGAUUGUUGAUAUUUAUGCCAUGUUGGUAAAGCGGAGUUUGCGAAACUGCAAGGUUGUUUGUUUCUUCACCAUUGGGGAUGGGAUCACCUCCACUCUCACAUUUGCUGCCGCAUGCGCUUCUGCUGGAAUUACCGUCCUCAUUGCCAAUGAUCUUAACAAAUGUGCUGUGAACCAUUGCAAAAGUGUCCGAACGGGCAAGGAAGAAGAGAUGUUGGCGAAGAAUGGUCAUAUCGAAUUCAAGGAAAGCAUGACCUCUUAUGCUCUAUAACUCAGCUCCUUGAGCUGCUUAAUCAUCUAUAUAUGUCCCAAUAUUUCUAGUUAUCUUCACCAAAUUGUCCAAAAGUGAGAAGGGUUUCAGACUCUUCGAUGUUGAGCAUGUCUGAUAAGGGUAAGGAAGACGAAGAGGAGAAAAGGCUCUAUCGGUGUGCAAGGACUUACAACAGAAUUGUAAUACAGUUUGACGAAUUGAUGGAGAUAAUGAACACCAAGAUCAAACCUCCUAAUCGCCGAGGGAAUUCUACAAAUUCUGUAGCUCAUCAGGAACACAAUGAAGUAAUUGUUCAGACAGUUACAAGAUUCCUCCAAGAAUUGAGGAAUGAAUCGCCGGAUGCUAAGAGCUCAUCGACUACCAGAUCUUCGAACUAGUAAUAAUUAUACUAGAAAUUAAUAUAAAAUAAAAACUCUGUUAUCCUUAUCAAUCAACAU